rnacentral:rRNA from 1 species
UACAGGGGGUGCAAGCGUUGCUCGGAAUUAUUGGGCGUAAAGCGCACGCAGGCGGAUGGGUAAGUCGGAUGUGAAAUCCCUGGGCUCAACUCAGGAACUGCAUUCGAAACUGUCCAUCUGGAGUACGGGAGAGGUGAGUGGAAUUCCUGGUGUAGAGGUGAAAUUCGUAGAUAUCAGGAGGAACACCGGCGGCGAAAGCGGCUCACUGGCCCGAUACUGACGCUCAUGUGCGAGAGCGUGGGGAGCAAACAGG